UUCACUUUUUGCAGCUGUCCUGACUCUCCCAUUAUCAUUAUAGUGAAGCAAUGUGGCAAUUACAGGGCUGGCCACCCCCAGGAGGAGGAUGUGCUCCACUGGCUUUUAAAGAGUGUGCAGCACUGCACUCUGUGCUCAUCUCCAAAGCUUUUCCCUUCUCCUGAAAUGGGUUUUAUUGCUCUACCAUUCCAAGUGUUUGUGCAGACAGGAAACAUCUAGGUAGUGGACUGGUUUCAGGAAACUUCAGUUCUCUGAAUCUCCUUUGGAUGGUAUGUGGCUCCACACAUUCUUCCUUCCCUCUUCUUUCCCCUCAAAGGAUACUUUCUGAACUGAGCAUAUCAGAGGUGGUGUAAAAACAUUGAUUGCUUUGGUGCUGAAGUACUGAACAAGGACAGAGGAACAACUGAUGUUUUGGGUUUUUUUUUUUCUUGGAGAUUUGACCCUAUGGGGAGCCACCUCUUCAGAAGGGAUGGUGGCAUUGGGGUCUGAGUGCUGUCAGCCCUUGGCCAUGUCCUGGGUUUGUCAGGCUGUGUCACAACUGGCUUUCGUCCCCCCAGCCUGACUCUGGAGCUGGGUUUGCUGCAGGACAUCCAGCUGGGUCUGAGCUAACAAGGAAGGGUUUGUGGUCCAGCUCUGAUCCUGUUGAAGCCACUCAUGUUGCCAGUUCAAAACCCAACCCUAAUGCUGGGGCUGAAUCAGACCAGCAGGCUUUCACUGCAGAGAACAGGGUGUUUACAAGCUAAUGCCUAAUCCUAUGGGCAACCUCAGAGCCAUUUCUUUGGUAACUUGCAGGAAAUAUUCUGUUUUGGGUUUUGUGUAAGGUGGUAUAAAGCAAUCCCAUGCAGCUGGAGGCCAGAAGGAAGGUGUUUGGGGGCUCCUGUGGCAGCUGUCUUGCUGUUGUAGCAGUGGGUUCCAUUUCUGUGUUUUGUUUCAGAAUACUUUAACAAAAACAUUCUUUGUAUUUCCUUUCCUCUGAGGUGAGAGAAUUCCUGGAAAUAUCAGGUCCUGGUAGAACUGAGGAGCAUUUCGUCAGUCUUUUUCCCUGAACUGGGUUGAGUGCAGCUUGCAGAACAUCUGGUCCUGGGGGCACCAAUACAAUCAGUCUGGGAAGAUUCCUGGCACUGGGCUGGGCUGCAGCACAGAGCUUGAGGACCCAUCCGCCCAUAUUCCCAGAUGAAGCCAUAGGAGCCCCUUGCUACGAGCUGCACUGAACACAAUGGGGGGGAAGUCAGUGCUACAGUCAACCUCCUCCUACCACUGCAAGGAGCAACAGGUGGUUUUUGUGAUGGCGUAUUUUGAGAGACCAGAACUUGAAGUCGUACUACACAGAGGCAGUGAAGCUUGAAUCGGAAACGUGCUGAACCUUCUUCCUCUCACUGGGACACGCUUUGUGUUUGCAGCCAGUUCCUUCAGGGCAGAGGGAAAGGUUUGCUGUGAUAGUACACUGGAUUAACUAACCCAUACCAUGCCUGCUGCUGCAACUCAGAUUCUAGCUCUUCCUCUAAACAGUGGCACUUGCUGUUCUUUUACCAACUGUAGGUUGUUCUUAGCUAUCAUAGCCUUGGUUGUUCUUCCAUCCCAGCACCCAGCUUCUUUAACAAGUACAUAACUGAUGUCUUCUCUGCCUGUCAUUCUCUGACAUGCUCUCUGUGCAGAGUGCUGAUCCAGCCGUGCCCCCUGAGGACUGAGCUUUGUGCUAAUGGAUUGCAAGGCUGUGAAGAAGAGGUACAUAUUGUAUUCCAUUGCAGGGGCAGUGUAGCUUGCUCAGCAAUGGAGGAGCAAUGAGAAAAAUCCAUUUGGACCAUCCAGCCUUGGUCUGACUCACGCCAGAGCUGCCCUGCAUCUUCAUCUCCUAGCUGCAGGGCAGGCUGUAGGUUCUCAAGCAGCUCCAGACUACAGAAGGGCAGGGACAAAAUUGGUGCAGUACUGAGGGCUGGUGCUGCUGCCCCAGGUUUCAGCUGAUGUCUGUGCAGUACCUGAAGUGAAACUCAGCCUCGGUGCCUGCCCCAGCUUCCAAAAAGGCUCCUUUCUUCUUUCCGUGGGAUUAUUGGUUCAUUGCUCACACACGAGGUGGAUGCUCUCAGUGCCUUUCAGUUAAACACAGGCUUCCCUCUUUGGUACAAAGCAGCUGGCAAUUUUGUCUCGGCUGAUAGUUCAACAGAUGGCUGCUUAAAAACAGAAAGCAAUCAAAGCAGGAGACUUUCUUCUUCUCUUCAAGGACUGUGCUGAGGUCAGCUUCCAGAACAAUGCAGGAUGUUUCAGCUAUGGCACAGGGUCCAAAAGGACAGAUGUGUGUAUCUGGAAAUUUUAGAGGCAGAUAGAGGCUUAUGUGACCUGAAAGUUUGGGAAUUUCCAUCCUGGAAGAUAUUUAACAGAGUAUGCAAUCAUGUUUAACUUUGAAAUUGGCCCCCUUUCUAAUAGGGGAUGGGUUGAUUGUUGGACUUAGAGGUCUUUUCCAAUCUGAAUGGUUCUCUUGAAGAGCAGCUGUUUCAGGCUCACCUGGAUUAUCACCAUAACGAGUGGGGUUUCUUUUGGGAAAACAUCCCCAGGAGAGAUUGCAUUUGCUAUCUGACCCUUGUUUGUGUUUUGUGCCAGCUGUUUGUGCCAGAAGCCUUGAAAUUGUGCCGUGGGCUCAAAGGGACAGUUAAAUCAAGGAGGAUGAGCACAGGAUUAGUUCCCAGGGUGACAGGAUGUGUGCAAGGAUGUGUUAUGUUCUCUCAGCUUUUUUCAGAAAACAAACGAGCUUUGUUGUGAGCCAGGAAUAGCAGGAUGAACGAUGGAUGCUUCUGGAAGGUGAUGUGCCUUCAGAGCUCUCUGCAAAUGCUACCAGUUUGUCUCCUGCCCUGCAAAUGCUGCCUGUUUGGACGGAGCAAUACUGCUGUCCUGGAGGAAUCCUCAGCACUGAGUGCCUUUCAGCUGGCUGUGCUGAGGUGAUGCUGAGGGCUGAUGGUACCAGCUGGAUGCUCAGUGCCCUUCCCUUGCCCUUUCCUUCAGGGCUUAGGGGUGAGUGACCAAGGUAGGAGACAAGCAGCUGGGCAUCUCACUCUCCACAUCAUACCCCAAGCCUGGAUUAUGACUCCGUGUGUCCCCUGUGGGGCAGGAACCUGCAUGUAGGCAGCUGCCAGAGGAAAGCUGAUGCCUGGUAAGCUUGGAUCUUAAUUUUCAUGCACAAUACAAUCGGCAUCUCAGCUCUGUUCAGGACUGCAGCAAGCAUAUGUUUCAAUACACUGAUAGAGUCAGCGUGCUUUAAGAAUAUGGACAAGAUAAGGCGUCUCAGUUAUACCUAUUCUUCCCAUCUAGUUUGUCUAGUGAAAGGCAGCAUGUUCUAUGAAAAAGCUUAUUCCAUAUGUUGCCAAAGCACUGAGCUGAUCAGGCAUUACAAGGGGAGAGGGGAGAUGAGCUCUGUAGCACUCACACACGGUGAGUGUGAGUUGUUCAGUAGCCCUUGUGACUUUGCCUUUUCUCUAAUGAUUGUUGCAGGGCUUGCCUCCCAAGGAAAUUGAGUCCCACUGUGGGAUCAGUCAGGUUGCCUGGUCCCUGGCACAGCUGUAAUUAGAUCUGCGCAAGCUUCUGACAUUUGCUGUCAUCCUUGGUCCAUCUUACAUGCUGCACUGCCUUUGGCAUGGGAGAGAGAUUUUUUUCUUGUAAGAAAUAGAGAAACUGAGUAUGGAAAUGGGUGUUUUUCCUGCUGUGGAAGCUAGGAAUGAAGACCUGGGAUAGGUCUGGUGGAGGUGAAGACAUCCCCCU